UAGCUUAGUGGUAGAGCAUGUGCUUAGCACGCAUGAGGUCCUGGGUUCCAUCCCCAG
rnacentral:tRNA from 1 species